CGGUUUUGUUUUUUCUGGGAAGCACUGUAUAGGCAUCGUCUGUGCACCCAUGAGCAGGUCAAAAAGCAACACACUGUGAGUGAGAGAGUAUGUGCAACAGUUGAAAACAGACAAGUACAACAACUUGGCAUAUACUAGGCAUCGACUGUGCUUCCAUGAGCAGGUCAGAAAGCAACACACUGCGAGUGAGAGAGUAUGUGCAAUAGUAGAAAACAGACAAGUACAACAACUUGGUAUAUAGGAUGGGGGCGUUCGGUGGUGCAUAGACUACCGGGCAUUGAAUGCGGUCACCCGUAAAGAUGUGUACCCACUCCCGAACAUCGAGGAAUGUUUCGACACACUAGCAGGUAAUGCCUGGUUCUCGAAGCUGGAUGCGAAUUCGGCUUACUACCAGGUGAAAAUCAAAGCGGAAGAUCGCAAGAAGACUGCAUUCACCACCAAGUACAGAUUAUAUGAAUUCGUGCGCAUGGGCUUUGGCCUAUGCAAUCCGCAGGCCCACUAUGUCCCAGCUCAUUCGGCUCCGGCUGCAGCGGGCGCGCCACCAGCUGCUAAAGGGGGAGUAUCAGCUACCCCUGCGGCACCAAAGGGCUCGGUUCAGACCCGGGUUUGGAAACGAACCCCGGAAUCUACCCCGGAGGCAAAGCCCCCCGUACCCCUGGCCGUUGACAGCCACUUCCACCUAGACUUCCUCGAGGGUCGUCUGGGAAAGAAGGGCUGGAAGUGUGCUGAGUUGACGUCGGGCAGGGAGCCUUGGGUCCUAGUCCGUCUGGUCGGGGUGUCGCGAAUUUCUGUGAUCCCCGCAGGUAUAAGAAUAUCGUGUUCCCGGAGGGUCAUGACUGGAAGGUCUCUGUGGGGGUACUCACCCGCUUUGCUUCCAGUUUCGAAGAAGCCGACUUAGACGCCAUGGGCCGAUUGGCUUGUGACCCUAAGACCAGCGCGCUUGUGGAGAUCGGUUUGGACUACUCUCUCCCAUCCUCCACGUGGUCGAAGCAGUUGCUUGUCUAUACAACCAUCUUAGAGCAGAUGGGAGUUACUGGCAAAGUCCUCGUACUGCAUCUGCGGGGACAAGACGGAAACACUUCCGGUGUCCCCUCUAGGAUCGUUAGAGAAGCGACCAGAAAGAGGGUCAACAGACAUCAGCGGAUUCAUAUCCACUGUUGCACCCUUGGACCUUUAGAGGUCAAGGCUUGGGGGAAAAGUUUUCCCCAACACCUACUUUAGCUUCGGCUGCAAGGUGAAGUAUUUCACUGGGGAGCAGUUGGACGCAUUCAGGAAGGUUCCUUUUCCUAGGCUAUUGCUGGAGACGGAUUCUCCAUAUCUCCCUGUAGGGUCAAAUUUAUGACCCCUGCAUACAUCGGGGAGAUUGGAGAAAUUGUCGCCUCAGCUCGGCGCGUAAGUUUUCUCACCCUCAUGGAGCGUGCUCGGAUUAAUCAUCUAGCGCUCUAUGGGGUGUAGUGAGGGUAGUAAAGGAGAAUGGAUGAGCUUCAUCCUCAACUUUUUACGAAGGGAUUCCGAUUCCCUUUGUAUUAUUGGGUUAGGUUGGUGCGUGUAGGAUUUUACAUGUUCUUUCUGUACGAUAGGAGACCAGCUGAUUCGCCUCCUCUUUGUGCCUUUUGUGUCCUUUGUUUUCUUUUGUCGUUCUUGUAUAAAAUUAUAUGAAUUAACCUGUUGUUAAUUUUGUACCUAAAUGAACUUAUAUUUUCUUUUCCCGACUUUUUUUCCUUCACAAAGGAGAAUCGAAGCCUGAAGUGAAGCACUCUUGGGAUGUCUGGCACGGUGCCAAGAACCUUGCUAAGAAACUUGCAAAGGUAAAUUGAAUGAAAAUUUUGUAAGGUUUUAAGGUUUUAAAAGUUUUGCAAGGAAUCUCCUCGUAUGUGGGAAAUAAUGAUGUGACGUAUUUCAUGACAGAGACUACAUAGGGAGUGGUUGUUCACCAUUUAUGAUCUCUUUUAUUUCAAAAUUCCCUCCCACUUCUCCAGAGAUACAUGGCAUAUAGCCAGUCACGACUGGAUUUUCAAUGUUAGUUCAAAUUGGUUUUUGGUUUUUAACAAAUGCAAAUUUUAUUUCACACAAAUGUCUGUUUUGUCUUAUUAUGAUCAUCUAUUUACAUGUUCUAAUCUAUAGGCAUCAUCAAAAGCAUCAACAAGAAGCCUACUGUAUUGGGUGAAACAUAUCAUCAGGCAUUUUUGGUACUGCUCCAAAACAUGCAGAGGGAAUCUUGUAGAUUUCAAGGUAUGGUUAUUUCCUCAUAACUGAUAUUUAAAAAAAAAACGUCUUAACAUGCUUUUGUUUCCUGCCAAAAUCUUUCAUUAUCUUUGUCUUCUUUUGGCCUGCCUAACUUGGUAGAACGGCUUAUAUAAUAAAUUCAAAUAUGGAGUUUGGAAAGGGGGGGGGUCCACAUUUACUUCCCUCUCUAUUGUUACUGCUGAAUUCCAUCAUCUGCUCUACAAUAACAUGUAUACUAAAAAAAUGUUUUUAAUCUCCAGUAAGUAUAAUACAGUACUAAAACAUUCCAAUAAGUGAACUUUGUAUUUUUGUUAAAACAGGGCUUUUACCAAGAUGCCCCCAUUUCAAUCAGCAGAAAUGAAAGGUCAAUAAAACAAACAAGAAGUGGACAGAUAAUGGAAACUCGAAAAGUUGUGCGCAAUGAUGAAAUUUUAGUGAAUACCGACGCAUUACUUGGCACAUUUAUGUUGUAGCCACAGUGAUCCAUCUCAUGAAAUAGUCACACCAGGCUAUGUAGUCAAGAUGAGCAAACAUGCUUCAUGGGGUGGAGAGCCUGAAAUUAUCGCUACCGUGCAAGCUUCCAACGUGCCAGUGAAAAUUAUUACAAGCUCUGAAGAUGCAGAAGCAGUGAAAAUGAACCAGUACUCGGUGAAAAUGUUCAAGAUGAGGCCAACCUUAUAUUUAGGAAAUAACCAUGAAAACCAUUAUAUCAACUUAGUUAAGUCAGUAAUGACGUCUUAUUCCACUCAUUUGUGUCACAAACAGGAUGUAUAUUUAAUAAAGUACAGAGAGUGUGAAUGAGAUGUUACAGCAUAUCAGGGACCAACAGAUACAAUCUCGUGGUAAUCAAAGUCUAUGCUUUGGAUACAAUAUAUACUUUCAGGCAACACCUUUUCAUUGAUUUUCUUUUGCUGGUGAUGCUACACCAAGAUGGACAUUGCACCUUUUAAAGACUACAAGAAGGUGAUAUUUUCUUCGCUUAUAAACAGUUGACUGAUGACAUCACUGCACAAAUGAGAUAUGAAGCUGUUUUCAUGGUGCAUGUUAUAUGAUGGAAUUAAUGUUGGUAAAAGGAGAACCUUGUUUAUUAUGAAAAAAAAUUCCCCCAAAGCAGAGAUUUUUUGUGAAAGUGGUAUCUUUUUUCCUUCUACAAUAGGACACAAACUACUUCCGAUGGCCCAGAGUGAAGGAAAGACAGACUAAGGCCGAGGAAAGAGAUUCAAAAUAGAGUCACACAGACAGCUUGGAAGAGAGAUUAGUAAACAAAACAGACAAAUACGACAACUUGGUAUAUAGGCAUCGUCUGUGCACCCAUGAGCAGGUCAAAAAGCAACAUACUGUGAAUGAGAUAGUAUUUGCAAUAGUUGAAACAGACAAGCAUGACAACUUGGUAUAUAGGCAUCGUCUGUGCACCCAUGAGCAGGUCAAAAAGCAACAUACUGUGAGAGAGUAUGUGCAAUAGUAGAAAACAGACAAG